CUUGUACUGAAGUGAGGCAAAUUCCUCUCCAAGUGUUGCAGAGACCAGAAACCCAGAAAGUAAGAUUUAAUUGCACUGAAGAAAAAAAGCUGUGCUUCCUGUAAAUCUCAAUCGCUACUGAGGAGAGUCAAUACAUUUUUAAUCAAACUUCAUCACUGAUUUUGCACUGAUCACUGAAAUGCAGAAACAUGACAUUUACUACCAUGUUUGCCAUCCAGACCACAUCAGUCAUGUGGUCUCACAGCCAUAUUCCUUGAUAUUGCUGGCUGCUUUUCCAUCAUAUGCUAAUUACACAGUCAUGUAUAGGUUAGGAAGCUCCAUGGUUCCUCAAUAUGGAAGGAUCUGCAUUGCUAGUCCAAUAUAAUCUUGUUGACCUUGAACACCUGAAUCAUCUCAAUUCUACCAUAGCCAGGUGAAUAUAUCACAGACAUCCACAGGUAGAUCCUGCACAACAGCUUCAGUUUCAAUGAAUAUUCUUGAGAAAUAUUUCCACAGAACACUAACUGUUCAACGUUUCUUGACAGAAGACACUUCGUGAGACAAUUUCUCAAGAGCUCUGACUAUGGAAUCUUUAAGAAAGAAAAGCAGCUCUGGAUAAUCCUGCCUGAUUGCCUCUGAUUAAUGCUAACAUCAUACACUGAAAGCAUUGUUAGAUAAGAGCAUAGAAGACCUUGAAGUAGUCUAUUGCAAAAUAGGUACUGACGCUUUAACGGUACAUCUAAUUUCAGUCGGUUUUAUGGAGACCUACUCAACAAGCUAAGAAUUUACAAACCUCAAGUUUCUUGGAUUUUGGAAGAAACCUUCUCAAGGCAGCUACUACACAGCCAAAGAAGUCACAGCUGCUAUAGUGAUCUGAGCCCAAAUAGCACUGCACUUCAAGGAAACAGUAAUCCAUGUAACAGUUAACGCCAGUAGGAUCUGACUGCACGUACAACAUUGUCUUAAGGCCUGUGGUGAAUUGUGUCUCUUUUCCCUUGCUGCAGAAUGAACUUGGUGGGCUUGCUGUAACACGUGAACUUGUACCCAGCUCCCGCUCAGUACCAGCGAUGACACAGCCUGCAUCUCUUGCCUUUAUCAAACUGUACAGCAACACGUUCUCAUGGGAACAUCACUUU
ensembl:lncRNA